rnacentral:lncRNA from 1 species
GUCCCUGUUCCGUGACCUUCGGUGGCAACCGCGCUCUCCCGGCCUAACGAUGGUGCAAAAUAUGAUUCCAAAGUCAUGGAGAGCCAUGAAAUUCUACUUCACUACUGUUUACCAAGAAAUAUGGGUUGGUCUAGCAUUAACAGCGUAUGCCUAUUACAAAAUUUCGUACGGUGGCAAAAAAGCAGUGGCGGAUAGUAAGUAUUAACUAUUACUUGUAUUAUUUUAAAUUAGUGCACUAAACAGAGCAUAUUUUACAUAAG